CCCUUGCUCCCAGCACCUCUCCUCGCGCAUCACACUGGAUUGAAUCGUUGCGCUUUCUGGUUCAGGUUGAAAUCCUGGGUCACAACUUAGGUCAUCUGUUCUGUUUGGGUACCGUCUGUUUGGAGCUCCGUCUGGUCCGCAAGGACAUCUGUUCUGGUCCCAAAAGGGCUGCGCUGCUAUUGUGUGUGG